GCGGCAGGCUUAAUACAUGCAAGUCGAGGGGCAGCAGGGAUAGCAAUAUUCGCUGGCGACCGGCGCACGGGUGCGUAACACGUAUACAAUCUGCCUUUUACUGGGGGAUAGCCUUUCGAAAGAGAGAUUAAUACCCCAUAAUAGAUUGCUCGGCAUCGAGUGAUUUUGAAAGCUCCGGCGGUAAGAGAUGAGUAUGCGUCUGAUUAGCUAGUAGGUGAGGUAACGGCUCACCUAGGCUACGAUCAGUAGGGGAUCUGAGAGGACUAACCCCCACACGGAUACUGAGACACGGAUCCGACUCCUACGGGAGGCAGCAGUAAGGAAUAUUGGACAAUGCCCGCAAGGGUGAUCCAGCCAUGCCGCGUGCAGGAAGACGGCCCUAUGGGUUGUAAACUGCUUUUAUACAAGAGAAAACCUCCCUACGUGUAGGGAGCUGAUAGUAUUGUAGGAAUAAGCAUCGGCUAGCUUCGUGCCAGCAGCCGCGGUAAGACGAAGGAUGCAAGCGUUAUCCGGAUUCAUUGGGUUUAAAGGGAGCGUAGGCGGUCUUAUAAGUCAGUGGUGAAAGCUCCUCGCUUAACGAGGAAAUUGCCAUUGAUACUGUAGGACUUGAGUACAGUUGCUGUGGGCGGAAUAUGACAUGUAGUGGUGAAAUACAUAGAUAUGUCAUAGAACACCGAUUGCGAAGGCAGCUCACAAAACUGUAACUGACGCUGAGGCUCGAAAGUGCGGGGAUCAAACAGGAUUAGAUACCCUGGUAGUCCGCACUGUAAACGAUGAU
rnacentral:rRNA from 1 species